UCUCUCUAGUUUUUGCUUAUCUUCUUUUUUUUCUUUCUUUCCUACAUAGUUGGGACAGAUGGAAAAAAGCGAGCACGGUGUAAAACAAACCGAUGGAGAAGAUGACGAGGAGCUCGUUCCAUUGAUAGAGCAGGUCAUUAAUGAUCUAGAGUCUAGAGUGGAAGCAGCGAAAUCAGCACUUGAACUGAUAAAAAAAAUGGCAAAGGAGGAGCCCAUAGCUCCUACCAUCCUCCCUAUCAAGGCUUCUCUUGGGGAUGAAAGUACGAGUAGUGUGUCACAUCUUAAG